CCUACGGGAGGCUGCAGUGAGGAAUAUUGGUCAAUGGACGAGAGUCUGAACCAGCCAAGUAGCGUGAAGGAUGACUGCCCUAUGGGUUGUAAACUUCUUUUAUAUGGGAAUAAAAUGUUCCACGUGUGGGAUUUUGUAUGUACCAUAUGAAUAAGGAUCGGCUAACUCCGUGCCAGCAGCCGCGGUAAUACGGAGGAUCCGAGCGUUAUCCGGAUUUAUUGGGUUUAAAGGGAGCGUAGGUGGAUUGUUAAGUUAGUUGUGAAAGUUUGCGGCUCAACCGUAAAAUUGCAGUUGAAACUGGCAGUCUUGAGUACAGUAGAGGUGGGCGGAAUUCGUGGUGUAGCGGUGAAAUGCUUAGAUAUCACGAAGAACUCCGAUUGCGAAGGCAGCUCACUGGACUGCAACUGACACUGAGGCUCGAAAGCGUGGGUAUCGAACAGGAUUAGAUACCCGGGUAGUC
rnacentral:rRNA from 1 species